UUUAAAUGUAAAAAAAUUCUAAAGGAUUAAUAGUUAUGUUCUUAAAAAUUAAAAAAUUUGGCGGUAUUUUAGUCUUUUCAGAGGAACCUGUUCUAUAAUUGAUAGUCCACGAUAAAUUUGACUUGUGUUUUAAAUUUUCAUAUCGUUGUAGUUUGAAUAUUUUAGGAGAAAUUAAAUAUUCAUGAUUUUAUAAUUUUAAAAGAAAAUCAGAUCAAGAUGUAGUUUAUAUACAAGAAGAAAUGGGUUACAAUAUAUUUAUAUAUAAUGAAUAAUAAAUUGAAAAAUUUAUUUGAAGGUGGAUUUGAAAGUAAUUUUAUUUAUUUUUUUAAAAUGAUUUAAGCUCUAAAAUGUGU
rnacentral:rRNA from 1 species